AGGGGAGUCCAAAGGGCUGCGCCUCCCGGUGGCUCAGCCUCAUUUCAGACCU
rnacentral:snoRNA from 1 species